rnacentral:tRNA from 1 species
UAGGAUAUAGCUUAGUGACAGAGUACUUACCUAGCAAGUACAGUGUCCUGGGUUUGAAUCCCAGUAUCAAAA